GGCGUUACAUCUUUUAAGUCGCAAUAAAUACGCAUAACUGCAAUUUUAAUGCAAAACUGAAGUUUAUAAGGCAAGAAGAUGAGCCAUGAAAGGCAGCGUACACCAAGAAAACAAAAUUGAUGGACAUUCUCACUUUCAUUACAGCUGCAAUGCUCCUGUCUUCUUCCUCAGCCAUCCCGCUAGCUUCUUCCCCAGCCAUACCACCAGCUUCUUCCCCAGCCAUCCCAACUGCUGGUCGAGAUGAAACAACACGACCUCUCAUCGCAUCUUGUGUAAUGCUCAUCUUCGAUCCGCCGCCAGAGCCUCAACCAAAGAUGAAGAUUCUUCGGUGUAGAGACCGUUUGCGUGCAAUUGCCCAUAUCUCCAAAAUAACUGGGAGAUUAUCACCCGCGUACGUUGAAGCCCUCGAACAAGUCCCAAAAUUCAAGAAGAAUCCAAGUCUGUUGCGUAAUUAUCUUCGCAGUCUUGUCUGAAUAAGCUAAUGUCACUGUAGUUAUGAGGGUAAGAAUCAAAACAAACUCAAAUAUGAAUAAGAAUGGUAGUUUACUUUUGAAAUGAUACAUUUUCAGAUAUGCACCAUACUACAGUUUCUGUUACCUUUCGAACAAAACUGUAGAAACAUACGUAUUUGGAUGCAGUACUAGACACUAUAAAUGAUUAUUUUGUUUCUUUUUUCUUCUUUAAUACUGUCGAGUUUAACUGAAAGUGUUAAAUCCUUUUCUUUUCUGCUGGGGGCGGCAGGCAAGGAACAAAUAUAUCUUUUCCGUGAAUUUAUUGGCUAUAUGCAAGUAAAGGGUCCCAAUAUCUAAAUCCAAAAGAUAGAAAUAAUCUGAAGAAUUAGCUAAAUUUUAUCUAAGAAUUAAUCUGAAAAGAGUGAGUUGUGGUUAAUCUUUCGGUCUUCUCAAUAAGUUAUAUAAAUCGUUCAUCUUAAUGGUGUCAAAAUCUUUAAUGGGUUGAGAUUUAGAAUGCCAACCCCUAAAUUUUAAAGAUUUUAGAUUUAUAUAAAACCCUAUCAAAAGCUAAAUGCGAUAAUUUUAUUAGUUACUACGAGGAUUCAAAUGACAAUGGAACUACACAUUUUUAGCAGAUGUUCAUUUAAGACAAAAAUAAUAAUAAUAAUAAUAAUAAUUAUUAUUAUUAUUAUUAUUAUUAUUAUUAUUAAAAUAAAACUAAUUAUCAAUUUAUAAAAAUCUUAAAACAUGUAACAUACGCAUAUUUAUGAAACAUAUUUGGUAUAUUAGAUUGGGCAUGACAAAAUCAGAAAUUAUCGUACACCUUUUUUCCUUUAUCCCGUUUAGUUUGUUCAAUCCAACAUACCAAACAAGUCCUUGUAGUGCUGCUAUUACCAAAAAAUUAUCUAAUUAAUGUAUUUUCAUAUUUUACGUCCACAAUCACUGUACAAUGUCCAUAAAGAGCAAGUUUCAGGAGAGUACCUUCUUCAUUGAUUGCCGAAUAAAUCUCAAAACAUAUUUAUUUUGAUGGAAUUUACAAACCAUAUGGCUAUGAUCGUAGCAUGAUGAACCUGCAUGUGGAAAAUGGGGAAAAAUGUCAGAUUAGCUAAAUAUUCAUUCAAAUGUAAGAAACAGAAAAUACAAGGCUGAUUGCAUGAUCAGGUCAUCCGCCAGUUUCUCACAUACGUCCUAUUGUUGCAAGUGCAAAACCAAUUCAACCUAAAUCAUAUGAUUCGUAUACAAUCAAUAUUUGCAUCUGUCAGAUGGAGAAAGAAGUUUUUACAGACGACGGAUUGCUACUGAAGUUCUUACAGGCGACGGAUUGCUACUGCAGUUCUUUGACCAGCCAUCUGACAAUAAGUCUCAAAGCCAACCGCUAACCUGGCCUGUAGUGUUGUUCACUGAGAUUUAUGUUUGUGAAUGACAGAAUCAACCAGUCAAAACUAUAAUAUUUUAAGUCACUUUAUCCCGCACUACAUGUUAGGCUCAAAAUCAAAUAGCAUGAUUUUUCAAAAGAAAUUAUUCAGAUUUGAAGUUAUUAAUAUGUGGGUUGAUGCUUAUAAUCAAUCUUGAAAUGUAAUGUUCCUUGUGUAUUCAUGUUUACUGUAACAUCAUAUAAUGAAAAUUUAAUAUCAGAUAUGCAAAAUUAUGGUUGGAUCCUAAGUGGUUGGAUCAUAAGUGGUGUUGCUGUGCCUGGGAUUAACCAAGCAUUGACUCAGAUUAUAAAAUAAAGGGAUUUUUUUUUUUUUUGGAGACCAAAUCAAUUUAUUUUAUGCAUUUAAGUUUGGAAACAUGAACAUGUUCUUACGUUUACUUGACUCAUUGUAAGGUCGCUGAUUUUCCAUAAAAAAGUUUAUUAUUUUAAGUAUUUUUUAAUAUAUAAACCAGGCCUUGUUCACAUUAGAUUGUUUGUUUCAAAUUAUAAAAUUUUACUAUAGCUUCAGUAAUAUUCAUGUCAAGAAAUGGCUUUAGGUAACUCUCCGGGUUUAUAAUUAUUCGGGCAUUACAAAAUAUACACCUGUAAGGAUGUGGAUGAAAAAGUUUAUGCAUAUGUACACGCCCAUACGCAUUCUAGAUCAUUUGAUUAUUCAUAAAUAGCCUAAAGGAUAGACUAAUUAGUAAAAGAAUUAUCUCAGUGAUUUUAAGCCCACUAUUUGUCUAACAUUAUUCAAUGAAAAUGAAUUUGGAAUGGUGAAUUUUUGAAUAAUGUAUGAUUAAAAAAUAGGAAAAUAUUUUCGAUUUAUAUGCAAAACAUUUUAUUGUGUGAAUGUGUAGUUGAAAAGGAGUUUAAGAAAAAAUAAGAGUUUUGAAAUAAUGAUAGACAAACAAAGACUAAGUAGCAUGCAGAUGCCAAUUUUAGCCCAUGUUUGGCAUAAAUUAGAAUAUAAUUUUAAUCCCAAAUUAAAGUCAACGAUUAAUUUUAAUUAUAUAUUUCAUAAGAUUUAUAAUUUUUCAACUUUUAUAAAAAUUUAUUAAAAAUCUGAUUUCAUAGUUGUUUUUAUUUUUUAUUUUUUUCCACCUAAUUUAACGUGCCAAAAAUAUGGGACAAAAUAAGUAUAGAGUUUUGGUAGAUAAUGAUAAAACCUGUUUAUGCAUGGGACCAAGUCGGCUUUAGCCCAACCGCGGAUGUCAAGUAGCUGGACUUCAAAGUACCAACGGCAUACGACAUGGACAUGACAACAUAUCAGUUUCCUGAAUGUAGGACUUGACAGAUUGAUUAAAAUUUUCGAACAGCUCUCCUCAAUUGAAGGUGCACAUAAUGUUAGUGUAAAUAUAUAUAUUAAAGCUACAUUUUUAUGAUUUUCUAUUUUUAUGAAUUAAAACCUUUUUGGCUUUGGUUUCGAAUUGUGGGGUUGGAAUUUUUUGAACCGGAGGAAUCAAUAUUUAUUUUACCAAAUCCUUGACUUGUUUAGGACAUCUCCCUCCCAUGUCAGAAAUUAAAAUGAUUAAAAAAAUAUCAGAUGCACUAGGUGUUAUUGUAGACAAGUGCUAGAGAAGUGUCAAGUAAGUGUUUCAAAAAAUUAAAAAUGUAUAAUAAAAUAGGACACACCAUGUAGCCUAUGAGACGCAUGUCAUGGAGUGUACUGAGUGUCGAACACCAAAACUCCACCUUAGGAGGAUUCUAUGUGCCUCAGGUUUCUAUGUGCCUCAGGUUAUCUUUAUUUAUUUGUGUAGACAUGUAUAUGGCUUUGAAUAAAAAUCUAUGUUUUGAAAUUUGGCUGAUAGAUGAAAUUCUCGUUGAAACCACUGUUGACAUCAGUAUAUUUUGAUUAAACAGCCAGGCAUGGAAUAUGGAUGCAACUGCUAUUCUGAUGAACACUAUUUGCCAACAUUUUUCCAUGUGAGGAUUGUUUAUAUCUAAUUAUUUAUUGUAUAAUUUAGGACAUACCCACCCACUUCGGAUAAUUUAAAGGGAAUAUCUUUUCCUCAUUUCAGAUUCUUGAUCCGGCUGGAAUUGCAAAUUGGUCCGUCACACAUGUUGAUUGGUCUGAAGGAAAGUGGCACCCAAAAGCAUAUCGGUCACAGGAUGUUACCUUUGAGCUAAUGAGAAAUAUUACAGUGCGUCUCCACUCUUCCCAAACUUUAUAUCGUUUGAAUUUAUAGCUUCCACUUUUUUCCCUUGUUCUGAGAGUUCCAGUAUAUUUUUAGUUAUAACAUCUCAAAUUAUCUUAUAAUUAACUAUAAUUCAUCGAAAAUAUUGGUUCAAAUGAAUCUUGAUCUGGUAUUGUGGCCACAAUAUAUAGACUUGCAGAGAGCUAAAUGAUACUUUAUAUCUCAAAUUAUCUUAUAGUUAUUUAUGUCAUCAAAAAUUAUUGCUCCCUGUGAAUAUUGAUCUGGUGGCCUAAAUAUGUAGACCUGCAGGGAGCAGAAUGGUAGUUUAUUUGUGAGUUGACUACUGAAGCAGAUCUAACACUUCUCUUCAAUUGUUUUUGCAGUCUAUUGUAGAUAGUGUGCAUGUUACAAGCAACGAAAGGGUUAGUUCACCAUGGUGAAAAACUAUUCUUCGUUUUAAGUUAUGGUGUAUCGGGAUUCUAAAACUUGUUCAUUUUGUGCUGCAGAAGGAAAUUCAGAUUAGACCUUGCUUGUGGAAUGGAAAUCAACGUCCGUGUUACUUGUUUGCUAGGAAAUUCUUGCCUGAAACUCUUAAUAAUUUGAUGGCCCUUUUCUCCAACUAUACUUCUAUAUGAGUGGGGUUAUAGCUUCAGUGUUGAUUCUUUGGUCGAUUCAAGAGUUGCGCCAUUUCUCGUGGAGCUUCUUCUGCUGUUGUAAAGAGCAUUGUUUUAUAUAGAAUUGAGUGCUCCCCAAUAUGACUUCAUUUUUAGUACUAAUGCAAUUGGAAGAACACUGGAGAUUACUCCAAGCCGAGCUGAAGAUAAAGAACUUUGCUGCCAGUGUUGUUGAGGAUGAUUUUGGGUCUAAUUUCCCCCUCAAUUUUGUGGCUGUUUAAGUUUAUACCCCAAAAGGAAGGGAAAAAAAUAAAAAAUAAAAAAAAUGGUGGGAACAGGGGACUGACUGCAGCGCUGUAUGGUGGGUAAAAUCUUUGAAGAACUUGGCAGAAACAAUUUUUUUUUUCUUUUUCAUUUUUAUUGUGAAAAUAAUUUUUAAUUUCCUUUUUUUUUUCUUUGGAGUAGAAUUCCUGACGGUCGAAUUAUAGUAUUUGUAAAAAAUGUUUUACAUGUUUAUGACAUUUUGGAAGUCUUAAUUUGACUCCAAUUCUAGCAUGUUUGGUGCAGAGAAUUAUUGAAUGGAACUAAAUAGUAUUAAAUAUUAAUAAAGAGUGGCGUUACAUCUUUUAAGUCGCAAUAAAUACGCAUAACUGCAAUUUUAAUGCAAAACUGAAGUUUAUAAGGCAAGAAGAUGAGCCAUGAAAGGCAGCAUACACCAAGAAAACAAAAUUGAUGGACAUUCUCACUUUCAUUACAGCUGCAAUGCUCCUGUCUUCUUCCUCAGCCAUCCCGCUAGCUUCUUCCCCAGCCAUACCACCAGCUUCUUCCCCAGCCAUCCCAACUGCUGGUCCAG
rnacentral:lncRNA from 1 species